GCUUUGGAUGCGCGGUCGCAUUUGUCCCAGCUGCCAGACGCGGAGCAGGCUGGUGACGGGGAACCGACAAGGGCGCCAGGUGUUCAACCAGCUGGAGACCAAGGUGUGUUCCUGGGAGCACUGCAGGUCCCGGCUCAGGAAGAGGCCAGCUCUUCCUGCCCUCUGGCCCAGGAAGCAUAGGACCACUUCCCGGGUGGGCAGCAUCUGGAUCCAGCACCCCAGCUGAGCUCAGCCUCCUAGGGCAGCAGAGGCACAUGGAGCAGACUCCUCCUGUUGGCCAGGAGUGCUCGAUAGACACGGAGCACUGGGACCUGAUCGCUGCCGGGCUGGGGCUCAUCCCCCUCGCCCAAGCCAUUACCAGGCGGGCAAACGCUCUGGGUGCCAAGAAUGGAUGAGCCGCUCCCUCCCAGAGACGGGGCCUCCGCUGACAGAUGAAAUCUUCAUUAUGAUGAUUUUUAUUAGGGGUGUGUUUUUGCACACACACACACGCGAUGCAGACACAUCUGGGGCCCAGGCGCCGCUGAAAUCCCCACCAAUGUGGCUCAUGAAUAUUCCACGGCGGUGCCCGCCACACUUUGCAGUCAUCGAUUAUUUAUUCGUGGAACAAGGAAAGCUUCAUAAAUAAUGAAAGCACUGCGUCCCAGCUGUGGCCCAGGUGAGGAGAUGGGCCCUGGGGUCCGCGGGAGAGCAGCAGUGUUCCCGUGGUGCUGCCUCGCAGACCAGAUCCCAGCCCCUCCUAGGAGGGAGGCUCGCGUGUCUGGGAGCAGGUGUGAGCGCGUGCGAGCGCUCCCUUGUCCACUGGAGAGCGUCUGCACACACUGCACAGAGCGCCUGGCCUUGUCUGUCCUGGAAAUUACAGAAAGGCUCUGCUGGGCGGGGAGAAGUCUCCUUUUACUCCCAAGCUGGGAAAACGCGGGCUAUGUCCUAGUUAAAUUCUGUACAACCUCAACCUUGGGGCUGUUGACUCAAGGUAUUCUGGUGUCGGAUUCACCAGGGAAAACUGUUGGAGGUACUUUUUCCUUACGUCACCCCUUUCCAUACACAGCAGGUCUUCAAGGGACAGAGGAAGCCUCCGAUCGACCUCGUCUCUCUCGUUGGGUUGCUUCCCGGUAAAGAAACCUGCUCUGUCUGGCUAGCACGGGGCCAGGCGUGGGCAUCUACGUAAAGGGGGGCACAUUUCCCCUGGGACAGUGAACGGGGGAAGGAAGUGCGUGGACUGUAUUGAUUGGAACAUUGAGUUCUCCAUGCGAAGCAGAAGUUAAGUAAAAUUCAAGCAGGGGUUGUUCCUGGUGAGACAGAAUCACUUAGGGGAGCUUAGGGAAAAAAAAGUUAAAUUAAGCACCUUCAUUUCAAGAUGAUUAUAGAUUUACCUGCACUUGUAAGACAACGUUGGUAUCAUGCACAACUCUACCAUGAUAUCACACCAGGAAAUUGACAAUAGAGUCUGCACUCAGUGCAGUCCUGAAUCGUGUGUGCCUAUGGUUUGCAUAUGGGACACCAGUCAAGACACACAGCGGUCACAUUGGCCCAAGGACCCCUUGUGUCACCCGCAUGUAACCUCAGCCACCUUUCCCUGAGCUGUGCUCACACCCCAAGCCCACCCCUGACUCCCAACAACCACCGGUUUCUCUGUGUCCACAAUGGUUAUUUUGUGGGUGUUACCUAAGUACAACCAUGUCACCUUUUGGGACUGACUUUUUUUAUGCACGAAGGGUAAUCCCCUUAAAAUGCAUCCUGAUUGCCAGGUGUUAUCAGUAGUUGGUUCCUUUUUGUUCCACGGCUCGGAUGUGAUUCUGCGGAGUGGACGGAGCAGUCUGUUUACCGGGGAACUGCUGGAAGAUAUCUGAGUGGUUUCCUGUUUGGGGCUCUCACAAAUAAAGCUGCUAUUGAUGCUGCCUCA